AACCUUUAACUAAACCCCCCCCCCCCCCCCCGCCCCUCGUGUCCCUCCUAGGAACUGGUUACAUCUGGUUUUGGAAAAUUCAAACAGAAUGAAUGACACAGGUCAAGACAUUUAUUUUUCUGCUUUUCUUCUCGUUCACUACUAAAAUUUAUGUAAAGAGAUGAAAGCUCAGCAAAUGCGCAGUUAAAUCUGCAUGUCAGCAAUCAAUUUGUUUUUAAUAAAGCAUGUCAUUUGAUUUCCAUACAGUCAGCUCAACAGGGUGUACAGAGAAGAGCCACAUGAGGAAAAGCCAUCCUUAUUUUAUGUAAAUUAUGAGUUUAGUUCAUCAGAAUAAUGGACCUUGUCAUUUUCCAAACUUUAUACUGGAAGAAAACUGAAUGAUUUGCUUUUCUAAUGUGUUUGAAUAAAAGGAUAUUGAUUUCCAUCAGUGAUGCAUAUCAACAGGAGCUAUUACAGAAGAGGCAGUUAUUGUAUAAGGGGAAACUCGUCAGUGUGUGGAGUCCUAAUGUGAAUGUAGGGAAUCUAUCAUCAGCAGGGUCCCCUUAAAUCAAAUGCCAUUCACACACUUGCAUCCUCUGCCUAUUUUAUUGUCAUUCAACAGUUUUCUUUUGUGGCUUCUUUAACCCAGCUUGCUCCAUUACCUGGGCCAUAUCUCAUACUGCAGCUACUGUUAAUAUCCUGAAUAUAGCACUUAAUUUUCAAUAUUAUCCCCCUGUAAUUGCUUCAUCUGCAUCAUCAGAUUUUUUAUUUGGGGGUAUAAUUACAAGACUGAUCCAAGAUCAGCAUCCUUUAAGAAAUCAUUCGCAGUGGGUGUGAGAAGUGCUUAUUUAAGUGCUAAAAAAAUAAAAUAAACUGUUUAAAGCUGCUUUAUAAAAAUACCUUUUUUGUCAUAUCUGCUGAAACGUUCACUAUAUCCUGACAGUAGAACAUGAGACAGAUAAUCUGUGAAACAAUCAGGUUCCUCUGGCUCCUCCCAGUACUCCUAAUGGCAUUUUCAGUGUUGAGAUUUCCAGGUUGUCAAAUAUC
rnacentral:lncRNA from 15 species